UUGACCUCGGAUCAGGUAGGAAUACGCGCUGAACUUAAGCAUAUCAAUAAGCGCAGGAAAAGAAACCAACAGGGAUUACCUCAGUAACGGCGAGUGAAGCGGUAAUAGCUCAAAUUUGAAAUCUGACCUCUUGGGGUCCGAGUUGUAAUUUGUAGAGGAUGUUUUGGGUACCGCCCCGGUCUAAAUUUCUUGGAACAGAAUGUCAAAGAGGGUGAGAAUCCCGUCUUGGACCGGCGGUAGGGCCUGUGUAAACUCAUUCGACGAGUCGAGUUGUUUGGUAAUGCAGCUCAAAUGGCUCGUACAUUUCAUCUACAGCUAACUAUUGGCCAGAGACCGAUAGCUGACAGUAGACUGAUCUGAACGAUCGAAAAUCACUUUG
rnacentral:rRNA from 1 species